rnacentral:lncRNA from 1 species
AUGGAAGAUAGUUCCUGGGUAAAUAUGGCAAAAGGAGGUCUGGGCACCUCGCAGGGCCUGGGCGCUCACCACUAUGUCCAUGAGACGCCUGCUGAGCACAAGGUCCACGGCAUCCAAUUCAUGGAGUUCUCGGAAGUGGAGAACCAGGAUGACUACUACAGCACGGAAGCUGGCUGUAUCCACACCCAGGACCAGCAAGGGGUGCAUGUCAUGUAUGAGGAAGCCUUGAGUGAUCUCAAGGAACUAGAGGCAGAGUUGCUGCUUGUGGCUAGCCAUUACAUUGAGAAAGAAAGGGGUCACAAAGUGGGCAGCCAGCCAAAGAGUGGCCAGGACUGGGGAUGGGCCCAUGCAGGUGUGGACAGAUUAGCUGUGCUCUCUGACAUAUGGACUUGGGAAGCAGCUCUUCUGGAAAACAAGCGCCAGGUAUUCUUGCCUAGGAGACAAAAUGUCUGCUAAAAAACCAUUCUUACAAAAUCCAGUCUUUUUUCUGUUUUUGUUUUUGUAAAUAAAACCCAGUUAGACUUUUAGAAAAGUUCUCAAUCAAGAGAAUAAUUAUUUUAUUUAAAUAAUCUUGGCUAGUUAUAAGGAUGUAAUAAAUUUUAUUUUCUUUACUGAGGUUCAUCACAAAAAACAAAAUGUGAAAGACACUUCUUUAUCUUACAGGUAUUAUUUGUUAGAGGACUGUAUAAUUCCUUCUUAUAAUAUGUAUGCUUUUAGUGAGAAUGAAUGAUGAUUUCAUUCAUGCUCAUUGUGCAGUCAUAGGGACAAUGCUCACUUUGCUAAUUACAGACAAGUUGACCUGAUCAUGGCCUGUAGAAGCAUAUGCCACAUGUGGGUAGGUGAAAGCAUUGGACAGGGUGCUGAGUGCAAUGUUACGGGGGUGAGUUUAAAGCAAUGAAACAGCAGGUUACUAAAUCAUCACUGUGUCACGAAUGGUUCAUAUCCCAAUAAUGAAUGAAACACUGCAAGUUUACUGUUCUUCAUUUGUGCCUUUUGCAUGGAUUAUCAGCCCUUCUAAUAAUCACCAAUUGUUAGGCAUUUACUUAUCAAAUAUGAAGUAUUUACUCCGCCAGGGACUGUUCCAGGCAUUCAGAGACAUAUAGAUAACUAAGUGAAAAUGAUCUUUAUCUUUAAGGAAUUUAUCAUCUACAAAAGAUUCAAUCUCCAAGCAAAAAUUAUAACCUAGUUCCUAACAGUUUAUAAUUGAGUACAUUCAUGAGUCAUGGGGACUCUGCAGAGAGAUUUGUCCUGGGGGAGGGGAGCACUGUCCGGUGUAAGAAAUGCUAGAAAGCCUUUCCAGAGGAAUCGAUAUUUCAUCUUGAUACUAAAACGUGAGUAAGAUGUUGUCUGGCAGGGAAGAAAAGAUUCUUAAGCAGACGAAACAGCAUUAGAAUGUCUGGGGAAUGUAAAUGGGAAGGACCAGCUUGGGGGAUUUUAUUUUGAGAAAGAAAAUCCUACCUUCUUGGAGGAUGGUAGGAAGACUGUUAUGGCUGGGAUGUAAAGGCAUGAUGGGUGGCAACAAGCCACACAUGUGUUUUGGGUGCAGCUUAUAAAGGACCUGCUAAUUAUAUUAUUUUAGAGUCCAUCUUAUAAACAAAGAAGAGCCAUUAGUGAGUUUCCAUAGAGAGAAAUAUGAUCAUAGCUGUGCUUUUAACAGCUACCUUGGGCGUAUGUGAGAGAAUGGAUUGGAAUAGAGCGCCCCUGAGAGAAGAAGUGCAGUUAUUGCAACAGUGACCUGAAAAAUUAGGAGGAAGCAUACAAUGACAAUAGAAGAAUAGAAAGGCAGAGAGGCGGUGAGACCAGGAAGGAGGAACAGACCUGAGAAUACUUUGUAGAAGUGGAAAUGGCAGGAUUGGAAGACUGGAUCUGGAAGUUGGGGCAAGAAAGUAAAGAAGGAAUUAAAACAACUUCCUGGGGGUGAGGGAGGAGGCUAUUAACUGAAACUGAACCCAGGAGGAGGAAGAGUGUCUUUAGAGGGGAAAAUGACAUAGGCCCUAGGACAACAAGGCAUUUGAGGGGGUUUGCUGAAACUCAGGUGUGAAUGUUUUGUGGGCAGCAAUAGGUCUGAAGCUCAGGAACAGGUAUGAGCUGAGGUAUGAAUAUGGAGGUUGAACCACAGUGAUGAAUCAAAACAACUGGGAGAAACUAGAGAUAUCUGAAAUGUAGCCCUAAGUAAUACACCUACAUUUUUUUUUUCUUUUUGAGAUAGAAUCUCGCUCUGUCACCCAGGCUGGAGUGCAGUGGCACGAUCUCAGCUCACUGAACCUCUGCCUCCCAGGUUCGGGCGAUUCUCAUGCCUCAGCCUCCUGAGUAACUGGGAUUACAGGUGCACACCACCAUGCCCAGCUAAUGUUUUGUAUUUUUAGUAGAGACAGGGUUUCGCCAUUUUGGCCAGGCUGGUCUCAAACUCCUGACCUCAAGUGAUCCAUCUGCCUUGGCCUCCCAAAGUGCUGGGAUUACGGGCAUGAGCCACCGCGCCCAGCCCCUGAGUAAUAUACCUACAUUUAAGGGGCAGGUCAUGAAACAAGAAGCAGUAAAACUAAAUAGACCAGAGAAACAAGGAAGAAAUGAGUUUUAAUUAGGAGGGGAUGGUUACUUGUGGAGUUCCAUGAAACGUCAAGAAAGGAACUCCUAAAAACCAAGCAGCUUGGUCAGAUGGUCACUGGCAGCAUUGCAGGACUCUCAGAAGCAUGGUGGGGGUGGAAACCAGGUUAUAGUGCACUAUGAUAUGGUCAGAAGAUGGGGAAAUGGCAAUGUUUUCUUUGAAUUGUUUUGCUAGUAGAAUAGAUGGUUCACCAUUUCAUCUGCUCUCUGGUUGGUCUGUUACUCCUAGAGAUGUAGGUCACCCACCCUUUGGCAAACAAUUGGCCAGGCUUCAAUAGUGCAAGCCUUGGACUUUGAAAAAAAUGUUCCUCUUUCUAAUGAUAACUGGCCCCUACAGCAUUAGUCUGGAGUCUUAAUCUGCCCAUUGGAACCUUAAUCAACGGAGUGAGAGAUUUAGAUGCACAGUGUAGUAACUGGAAUGGCUGUAUGAAAUAUAAAUAAGACAGGAUCCUUAAACUCAACAAGUUUAUGGGUCCAGGCAUGAAUUUUUUUUUUUUUUUUUUUUUUUUUUGAGAUGGAGUCUUACUCUGUCACCCAAGCUGGAGUUCAGUGGUGCAAUCUCAACUCACUGCAAGCUGUGCUUCCUGGGUUCGCCCCUUUCUCCUGCCUCAGCCUCCCGAGUAGCUGGGACUACAGGAGCCCACCACCACACCUGGCUAAAUUUUUUUUUUUUUUACUUUUUAGUAGAGAUGGGAUUUCACCGUGUUAGCCAGGAUGGUCUCGAUCUCCUGACCUCAUGAUCCGCCCGCCUCGGCCUCCCAAAGUGCUGGGAUUACAGGGCAUGAGCGACCCCACCCAGCCCAGGCAUGAAUUUUAAACAGCACUCCCCACCCCUUUCUGUACUCUCUCUCCCUACCUUCCCUUUCAAUGCCUCUGGGCCUCCUUUGGAGGCCCCCGGAAAGACUCAAUGGCAAUAGAAGAGGAGGAAGGCAGAAAAUACUGAAAAACGAACCAAUUUCUCCACACUUCAGCCUAGGAUUCAUUGUGUGGUAAGGUGUCAGGACAGUCUACUAGUUCCUUCUGUGGUAAAUGAAACUAUUUUGACUUAAAAACAUUUGGUGAAAAUAUCUCCCUCUUUUCUAUCCUGAGAAUAAAUUCCCUUUAGAAACUGAGCUAUCGGUGCGAAAAGUGUAAAAUGGCCAAGUCAGAAAUUUUGUCAAAAGAGCCUAUUUUUAAUGGAUAAGCCAGAUUUCCAUCUAAAGUAGUUUAUUUCCCCCAGUACCAUUUCCUACAGCCAAGUUUCCUCAGCUGUUUUUGAUUGUUAAAUCUAUUGGUAUCACUAGGGUUAAGAAUUGCUUGAACAUAUUGGGUUCUUUUAAAUCCUUAUGAAGCUCAUAAAAUUAGAGCUGGUAGAAACUUAGGUAGAUCAAGGGAUUCUUAGAAAAGUCAGGUAUCAGCUGUAGCAGCUCCUAAGUGACACUGUACCAUCUGCUAAGUCUUUCUACAGCUACCGAAGGACAAAUGUACUGGAUAAAAAGAUCAUUCCUUAGGAAAGCCAGAAAGAAAAUGUCCUGUGCUAAGUUGGGUCUAGCAAAGAUUUUCUGUUUUGCACUUUCAUUUGACCUAAAAUACUAUUUUAGAAGUUUUUUUAAAUCCCAGAAAAAAAAAAUGAAGUAAAAAGAAUAUAAACACAGUAAGGUUUGAGAUUAUUUAUUUUGUCUAUUUUCCCAUUUUCUCCAAUAUUUUGUGCUUACCAUCAGCACGCACCACAUAUUAUCUUGCCUGAGAGUUGGCUCUUGACACACACAGGUGACAUUUGACAGACUGGGAAGACUUCUUAGACAAAUACCAGCCCAGAGUUGAAAUGGAAAUGGGCCACUUAGCAAACAGAUAAUAAAUAGAACCCAUGAGGCAGAAAGAUCUUGGCCCCAUCCCUGUUGGGAAAGAAUUCAUAAUAAAAUUAUGCAAUGAUCUGAGAGCCUCUCGAGGUUGAGCACAAAGCUGAAAGAAGCUUCAUCAAUUUAAAAAGAGAG